AUUGAACGCUAGCGGGAUGCCUUACACAUGCAAGUCGAACGGAGUGGCGAACGGGUGAGUAAUGUAUCGGAACGUGCCCAGUAGCGGGGGAUAACUACGCGAAAGCGUAGCUAAUACCGCAAACAAUUGGAGCGGCGGAUAGCGGAUUAGAUAGUUGGUGGGGUAACGGCUCACAAAGGCGACGAUCCGUAGCUGGUUUGAGAGGACGACCAGCCACACUGGGACUGGGACACGGCCCAGCCUCCCACGGGAGGCAGCAGUGGGGAAUUUUGGACAAUGGGGGAAGCCCUGUUCCAGCCAGCCCGCGUGUGCGAUGAAGGCCUUCGGGUUGUAAAGCACUUGUGGCAGGAAGGCGGUACCUGCAGAAUAAGCACCGGCUAACUACGUGCCAGCAGCCGCGGUAAUUC
rnacentral:rRNA from 1 species